rnacentral:rRNA from 1 species
CUAGCUUAAUCCACAUAACUGAUACUUCGUAUCGACUUUGUGCGCAUUUUGCUAUUAUGUGUCUUUUAAUAAAAGU